GACGAACGCUGGCGGCGUGCUUAACACAUGCAAGUCGAACGGAAAGGCCUCUUUCGGGGGGUACUCGAGUGGCGAACGGGUGAGUAACACGUGAGUAACCUGCCCUUGACUUUGGGAUAACUUCAGGAAACUGAGGCUAAUACCGGAUAGGAGCUCCUGCUGCAUGGUGGGGGUUGGAAAGUUUCGGCGGUUGGGGAUGGACUCGCGGCUUAUCAGCUUGUUGGUGGGGUAGUGGCUUACCAAGGCUUUGACGGGUAGCCGGCCUGAGAGGGUGACCGGCCACAUUGGGACUGAGAUACGGCCCAGACUCCUACGGGAGGCAGCAGUGGGGAAUAUUGCACAAUGGGUGGAAGCCUGAUGCAGCAACGCCGUGUGCGGGAUGACGGCCUUCGGGUUGUAAACCGCUUUCGCUCAUGACGAAGCUUUGUGUGACGGUAGUGGGUAAAGAAGCACCGGCUAACUACGUG
rnacentral:rRNA from 1 species